UCGGGAAUUUUGGGCAAUGGGGGAAACCCUGACCCAGCAACGCCGCGUGAGGGAUGAAGGCCUUCGGGUCGUAAACCUCUGUCAGGAGGGAAGAAGGUUCCCGGGGUGAACAAUCCCGGGGAAUUGACGGUACCUCCGGAGGAAGCGCCGGCUAACUCCGUGCCAGCAGCCGCGGUAAUACGGAGGGCGCAAGCGUUGUUCGGAAUCAUUGGGCGUAAAGCGCGUGUAGGCGGUCUGGUCAGUCGGGUGUGAAAGCCCGGAGCUCAACUCCGGAACUGCAUUCGAUACUGCCAGGCUAGAGUCCCGGAGAGGGUGGUGGAAUUCCCGGUGUAGAGGUGAAAUUCGUAGAUGUCGGGAGGAACACCAGCGGCGAAGGCGGCCACCUGGACGGUGACUGACGCUGAGACGCGAAAGCGUGGGGAGCAAACAGGAUUAGAUACCCUGGUAGUCCACGCUGUAAACGUUGGGUGCUAGGCGUCGGGGGUAUUGACCCCCUCGGUGCCGCAGCUAACGCAUUAAGCACCCG
rnacentral:rRNA from 1 species